rnacentral:tRNA from 1 species
UUCCUUUUAGCUCAGUUGGCAGAGCAGUUGACUCUUUAAUCAGCGGGUUGCAGGUUCGAGUCUUGCACAGGUGU